UGCGAUGGGGCGAGACAGAGCGUAUGCGCUGAGACCCGAAAGAUGGUGACUAUUUCCUGAGCAGGAUGAAGCCAGAGGAAACUCUGGUGGAAGUCCGAAGCGAUUCUGACGUGCAAAUCGAUCGUCUGACUUGGGUAUAGGGGCGAAAGACUAAUCGAACCAUCUAGUAGCUGGUCCCUCCGAAGUUUCCCCCAGGAUAGCUGGAGCUCGUUAAGCAGUUAUACUCGGUAAAGCGAAUGAUUAGAGGACUUGGGGACGAAAUGUCCUUAACCUAUUCUCAAACUCUAAAUGGGUAUGAAGCCAGGGUUGCUUGACUCUGAACCCAGGCGUUGAAUGUUUGAGCUCCAAGUGGGCCAUUUUUGGUAAGCAGAACUGGCGAUGUGGGAUGAACCAAACGUGGAGUUAAGGUGCCAAAGUGCCCGCUCAUUAGACCCCAUAAAAGGUGUUGGUUGAUAUAGACAGCAGGACGGUGGCCAUGGAAGUCGGAAUCCGCUAAGGAGUGUGUAACAACUCACCUGCCGAAUCAACUAGCCCUGAAAAUGGAUGGCGCUGGAGCGGGCCACCUAUACUCCACCGUCAUUGGCUUGUACACGUGCUUGUCGCGUAGUCUGGCCAUGACGUGUAGGAGGGUCGUGGUGGUUGCGUUGAAGGCUUUGGGCGUGGGCCCGGCCGGAGCUUCCACCAGUGCAGAUCUUGGUGGUAGUAGCAAAUAUUCAAGUGAGAUCCUUGAAGACUGAAGUGGAGAAGGGUUCCACGUGAACAGCAGUUGAAUGUGGGUCAGCCGAUCCUAAGGCACCGGCUAACGCCGUAACACACUACGGAUGACGACUUUUCUGUGCUUGCGCAGUUGGUCCAUCCGGUUGCCGAAAGGGAAGUGGGUUAACAUUCCCACGCCAGGCUAGGGAAAUGACGGUUCGCAAGAGCUGUUUUGCGCGGUAACGCAAAUGAACUCGCAGACGUCGUGUGGAGUCCGAGCCAGAGUUCUCUUUUCUGGUUUAGGGUGUGCGUGCCUGGAAGUGGCUCAGCCUGAGAUAGGGAUGUUGCGCCCGUAAAGCACCGCGGUUCCCUGUGUGUCUCGUGCGCUCCACACGGCCCUUGAAAAUGCGAGGGAAGCUAUUUGAAUCUCCUGCCUGAUCGUACCGAUAUCCGCAGCAGGUCUCCAAGGUGAACAGCCUCUAGUCGAUAGAAUAAUGUAGGUAAGGGAAGUCGGCAAAUUAGAUUCGUAACUUCGGGAAAAGAAUUGGCUCUAAAGGUCGGGUCAGCCGGGCUGUUGCGUGAAACAGGCGGCUUUUGCCCGUGGCUGCGUGCUGUUCUUUCGGGGAUGGUGCGUGGACUAGUGGUGAGAGCUGCUUGUGGAGCGCUUCAGCUGCGUGUAUGCUCGUCAGGGUAUGCACUUCGGUUGGCGCUGAACGACCAGUUUAGAACUGGCACGAACUCGGGGAAUCCGACUGUCUAAUUAAAACAGAGGAGACGGAUGGUCCUUGUGGACGUUGACCGUGUCUGAUUUCUGCCCAGUGCUCUGAAUGUUAAGCCAAGGAAACUUGAUUAAGCGCGGGUAAACGGCGGGAGUAACUAUGACUCUCUUAAGGUAGCCAAAUGCCUCGUCGGCUAACUACCGACGCGCACGAAUGGAUCAACGAGAUUCCCACUGUCCCUAUCUACUAUCUAGCGAAACCACAGCCAAGGGAACGGGCUUGGCAAAUUUAGCGGGGAAAGAAGACCCUGUUGAGCUUGACUCUAGUCUGACUUUGUGAAGAAUCAUGAGAGGUGUAGCAUAAGUGGGAGCCGCAAGGCGCCAGUGAAAUACCACUACUUUCAUCGAUUCCUUACUUAAUCGGUAAAACGGGAGUGCGCCCGAAAGGGUGUCCAUUUUGGUGUUAAGUCGGGCCACCCGGUGGCCCGGCGACCCGCGCCGAUGACAGUGUCAGGCGGGGAGUUUGACUGGGGCGGUACAUCUGUCAAAGCGUAACGCAGGUGUCCUAAGGCGAGCUCA
rnacentral:rRNA from 2 species